rnacentral:rRNA from 1 species
CCUACGGGUGGCAGCAGUGAGGAAUAUUGGUCAAUGGACGGGAGUCUGAACCAGCCAAGUAGCGUGAAGGAUGACUGCCCUAUGGGUUGUAAACUUCUUUUGUAUGGGAAUAAAAUGUUCCACGUGUGGGAUUUUGUAUGUACCAUAUGAAUAAGGAUCGGCUAACUCCGUGCCAGCAGCCGCGGUAAUACGGAGGAUCCGAGCGUUAUCCGGAUUUAUUGGGUUUAAAGGGAGCGUAGGGGGAUGGUUAAGUCAGUUGUGAAAGUUGGCGGCUCAACCGGAAAAUUGCAGUUGAAACUGGAAGUCUUGAGUACAGUAGAGGUGGGCGGAAUUCGUGGUGUAGCGGUGAAAUGCUUAGAUAUCACGAAGAACUCCGAUUGCGAAGGCAGUCUACUGGACUGCAACUGACACUGAGGCUCGAAGGUGUGGGUAUCAAACAGGAUUAGAUACCCUUGUAGUC